CUCUUAUUUUUACCGAUUAUUCCGCCGACAAAUGCCUCGCUUGCUGCCGGUAAAUGCACCUCGGGCAACCCUGCUCCUUCGCCUCCGGGUCGAACGGAAUGGCUUCCUCGUCCUCGUCUUCGUCGCAUCGGGCUGCCUCCGGGGCGGAGGACUCUAGACUCGAACUCGCCAAAAAGAUACGAAGCCAUGAGGUCGCAAUCGCGGAAAUGAACAGCCUCGCGCCGUCUCGAGCUGUAUACCAGAAAAAUGGCAAUAUCUUCUUCCGUAAAAAUAACAAGACAGCAAUAACUUUUGAACAGAAACAACUUGACUUGGCCAAAUCUCAGUUACAAAAACUGAAUGCAGCUUGAUGCCUUGGUGUUUGUAAGAAGUCUGACCAAGAUUUGUGGCUAAAAACAACCAGAAGCAACAAGAGAAGCAUGCAAUGUCCUUUACCGCCAGAUCUUGUACUAGGCAACCUCUUCUUAUAGCAAAGAGUCCCUUCUAAUAUCAUUAAAAUUAGUGCCAGGUUUUAACUGGACGUCCUCAGAGAAAGAAAAAAAAAGUUUCCAUGAUUUGGCAAAGCUUCUGGUCCGCAUGCAGCAGUCUGGUAUCUUUGUAAGGUGUAAGGUUGCAAAUAUUUUUUGUUCUUGCAUCUUUGUUGCUCACGCUGGAAAUAUUUUACCUUGAUAGUAAGGGAUUGCACGAUACCAUUUGAUGAUGUGGUGAGUUAGUAUUAUGGGCCUGGGAAGGAUAUGUUCACUGAUUGUGGCCAAAAGUUUAGUAACUAGGGGAUCUUUGUCACUAAGGUCGAGCUCUGGUGUAAGGUUACAUUGAAACUAUUGUCAGAAUGAAUUGAAUAAAUUAUUAAUUAAAUAAAUUUUUAGAAUUUGUUUUGAUA